rnacentral:rRNA from 1 species
CUACGGGUCGCUGCAGUGGGGAAUAUUGCACAAUGGGCGCAAGCCUGAUGCAGCCAUGCCGCGUGUAUGAAGAAGGCCUUCGGGUUGUAAAGUACUUUCAGCGGGGAGGAAGGGAGUAAAGUUAAUACCUUUGCUCAUUGACGUUACCCGCAGAAGAAGCACCGGCUAACUCCGUGCCAGCAGCCGCGGUAAUACGGAGGGUGCAAGCGUUAAUCGGAAUUACUGGGCGUAAAGCGCACGCAGGCGGUUUGUUAAGUCAGAUGUGAAAUCCCCGGGCUCAACCUGGGAACUGCAUCUGAUACUGGCAAGCUUAAGUCUCGUAGAGGGGUGUAGAAUUCCAGGUGUAGCGGUGAAAUGCGUAGAGAUCUGGAGGAAUACCGGUGGCGAAGGCGGCCCCCUGGACGAAGACUGACGCUCAGGUGCGAAAGCGUGGGGAGCAAACAGGAUUAGAUACCCUAGUAGUC